rnacentral:lncRNA from 1 species
ACUCUCGCCCAAGCACGCUUAACUUCGGAGUUCUGAUGGGAUCCGGUGCUUUAGUGCUGGUAUGAUCGCAUCCGACAUACCGUGCGUUCUCCUCCCCUUUAUGCCCGCGCCUCCGUGUACGGUCCGCCCAUAGCUCCUUCGACGGCGCCGCCUAGGAACGCGGAGAAAAUAUGACAAAGGAACGGCCAAAAAUAAAAAGAAAGUCCUUUCUUUUGAAAAAACAAACAAAAAAAAGGUAUGCAACACGAGGACUUCCUAGGAGGUCACCCAUCCUAGUACUACUCUCGCCCAAGCACGCUUAACUUCGGAGUUCUGAUGGGAUCCGGUGCUUUAGUGCUGGUAUGAUCGCAUCCGACAUACCGUGCGUUCUCCUCCCCUUUAUGCCCGCGCCUCCGUGUACGGCCCGCCCAUAGCUCCUUCGACGGCGCCGCCUAGGAACGCGGAGAAAAUAUGACAAAGGAACGGCCAAAAAUAAAAAGAAAGACCUUUCUUUUGAAAAAACAAACAAAAAAAAGGAAUGCAACACGAGGACUUCCCAGGAGGUCACCCAUCCUAGUACUACUCUCGCCCAAGCACGCUUAACUUCGGAGUUCUGAUGGGAUCCGGUGCUUUAGUGCUGGUAUGAUCGCAUCCGACAUACCGUGCGUUCUCCUCCCCUUUAUGCCCGCGCCUCCGUGUACGGCCCGCCCAUAGCUCCUUCGACGGCGCCGCCUAGGAACGCGGAGAAAAUAUGACAAAGGAACGGCCAAAAAUAAAAAGAAAGACCUUUCUUUGAAAAAACAAAGAAAUAAAAGGAAUGCAACACGAGGACUUCCCAGGAGGUCACCCAUCCUAGUACUACUCUCGCCCAAGCACGCUUAACUUCGGAGUUCUGAUGGGAUCCGGUGCUUUAGUGCUGGUAUGAUCGCAUUCGACAUACCGUGCGUUCUCCUCCCCUUUAUGCCCGCGCCUCCGUGUACGGCCCGCCCAUAGCUCCUUCGACGGCGCCGCCUAGGAACGCGGAGAAAAUAUGACAAAGGAACGGCCAAAAAUAAAAAGAAAGACCUUUCUUUUGAAAAAACAAACAAAUAAAAGGAAUGCAACACGAGGACUUCCCAGGAGGUCACCCAUCCUAGUACUACUCUCGCCCAAGCACGCUUAACUUCGGAGUUCUGAUGGGAUCCGGUGCUUUAGUGCUGGUAUGAUCGCAUCCGACAUACCGUGCGUUCUCCUCCCCUUUAUGCCCGCGCCUCCGUGUACGGCCCGCCCAUAGCUCCUUCGACGGCGCCGCCUAGGAACGCGGAGAAAAUAUGACAAAGGAACGGCCAAAAAUAAAAAGAAAGACCUUUCUUUUGAAAAAACAAACGCCUCCGUGUACGGCCCGCCCAUAGCUCCUUCGACGGCGCCGCCUAGGAACGCGGAGAAAAUAUGACAAAGGAACGGCCAAAAAUAAAAAGAAAGACCUUUCUUUUGAAAAAACAAACAAAAAAAAGGAAUGCAACACGAGGACUUCCCAGGAGGUCACCCAUCCUAUUACUACUCUCGCCCAAGCACGCUUAACUUCGGAGUUCUGAUGGGAUCCGGUGCUUUAGUGCUGGUAUGAUCGCAUCCGACAUACCGUGCGUUCUCCUCCCCUUUAUGCCCGCGCCUCCGUGUACGGCCCGCCCAUAGCUCCUUCGACGGCGCCGCCUAGGAACGCGGAGAAAAUAUGACAAAGGAACGGCCAAAAAUAAAAAGAAAGACCUUUCUUUUGAAAAAACAAACAAAAAAAAGGAAUGCAACACGAGGACUUCCCAGGAGGUCACCCAUCCUAGUACUACUCUCGCCCAAGCACGCUUAACUUCGGAGUUCUGAUGGGAUCCGGUGCUUUAGUGCUGGUAUGAUCGCAUCCGACAUACCGUGCGUUCUCCUCCCCUUUAUGCCCGCGCCUCCGUGUACGGCCCGCCCAUAGCUCCUUCGACGGCGCCGCCUAGGAACGCGGAGAAAAUAUGACAAAGGAACGGCCAAAAAUAAAAAGAAAGACCUUUCUUUUGAAAAAACAAACAAAAAAAAGGAAUGCAACACGAGGACUUCCCAGGAGGUCACCCAUCCUAGUACUACUCUCGCCCAAGCACGCUUAACUUCGGAGUUCUGAUGGGAUCCGGUGCUUUAGUGCUGGUAUGAUCGCAUCCGACAUACCGUGCGUUCUCCUCCCCUUUAUGCCCGCGCCUCCGUGUACGGCCCGCCCAUAGCUCCUUCGACGGCGCCGCCUAGGAACGCGGAGAAAAUAUGACAAAGGAACGGCCAAAAAUAAAAAGAAAGACCUUUCUUUUGAAAAAACAAACAAAUAAAAGGAAUGCAACACGAGGACUUCCCAGGAGGUCACCCAUCCUAGUACUACUCUCGCCCAAGCACGCUUAACUUCGGAGUUCUGAUGGGAUCCGGUGCUUUAGUGCUGGUAUGAUCGCAUCCGACAUACCGUGCGUUCUCCUCCCCUUUAUGCCCGCGCCUCCGUGUACGGCCCGCCCAUAGCUCCUUCGACGGCGCCGCCUAGGAACGCGGAGAAAAUAUGACAAAGGAACGGCCAAAAAUAAAAAGAAAGACCUUUCUUUUGAAAAAACAAACAAAUAAAAGGAAUGCAACACGAGGACUUCCCAGGAGGUCACCCAUACUAGUACUACUCUCGCCCAAGCACGCUUAACUUCGGAGUUCUAAUGGGAUCCGGUGCUUUAGUGCUGGUAUGAUCGCAUCCGACAUACCGUGCGUUCUCCUCCCCUUUAUGCCCGCGCCUCCGUGUACGGCCCGCCCAUAGCUCCUUCGACGGCGCCGCCUAGGAACGCGGAGAAAAUAUGACAAAGGAACGGCCAACAAUAANNNNNNNNNNNNNNNNNNNNNNNNNNNNNNNNNNNNNNNNNNNNNNNNNNNNNNNNNNNNNNNNNNNNNNNNNNNNNNNNNNNNNNNNNNNNNNNNNNNNGUCACCCAUCCCAGUACUACUCUCGCCCAAGGCACGCUUAACUUCGGAGUUCUGAUGGGAUCCGGUGCUUUAGUGCUGGUAUGAUCGCAUCCGACAUACCGUGCGUUCUCCUCCCCUUUAUGCCCGCGCCUCCGUGUACGGCCCGCCCAUAGCUCGUUCGACGCCGCCGCCUAGGAACCCGGAGAAAAUAUGACAAAGGAACGGCCAAAAAUCCAAAGAAAGAUCUUUCUUUUGAAAAAACCACCAUAAAAGGAAUGCAACACGAGGACUUCCCAGGAGGUCACCCAUCCUAGUACUACUCUCGCCCAAGCACGCUUAACUUCGGAGUUCUGAUGGGAUCCAGUGCUUUAGUGCUGGUAUGAUCGCAUCCGACAUACCGUGCGUUCUCCUCCCCUUUAUGCCCGCGCCUCCGUGUACGGCCCGCCCAUAGCUCGUUCGACGGCGCCGCCUAGGAACGCGGAGAAAAUAUGACAAAAGAACGGCCAAAAAUAAAAAGAAAGACCUUUCUUUUGAAAAAAGAAACAAAAAAAGGAAUGCAACACGAGGACUUCCCAAGAGGUCACCCAUCCUAGUGCUACUCUCGCCCAAGCACGCUUAACUUCGGAGUUCUGAUGGGAUCCGGUGCUUCAGUGCUGGUAUGAUCGCAUCCGAUAUACCGUGCGUUCUCCUCCCCUUUAUGCCCGCGCCUCCGUGUACGGCCCGCCCAUAGCUCGUUCGACGGCGCCGCCUAGGAACGCGGAGAAACUAUGACAAAGGAACGGCCAAAAAUAAAAAGAAAUACCUUUCUUUUGAAAAAACAAACAAAAAAAGGAAUGCAACACGAGAACUUUCCACGAGGUCACCCAUCCUAGUACUACUCUCGUCCAAACACGCUUAACUUCAGAGUUCUAAUGGGAUCCGGUGCUUUAGUGCUGGUAUGAUCGCAUCCGACAUACCGUGCGUUCUCCUCCCCUUUAUGCCCGCGCCUCCGUGUACGGCCCGCCCAUAGCUCCUUCGACGGCGCCGCCUAGGAACGCGGAGAAAAUAUGACAAAGGAACGGCCAAAAAUAAAAAGAAAGACCUUUCUUUUGAAAAAACAAACAAAAAAAGGAAUGCAACACGAGGACUUCCCAGGAGGUCACCCAUCCUAGUACUACUCUCGCCCAAGCACGCUUAACUUCAAAGUUCUGAUGGGAUCCGGUGCUUUAGUGCUGGUAUGAUCGCAUCCGACAUACCGUGCGUUCUCCUCCCCUUUAUGCCCGCGCCUCCGUGUACGGCCCGCCCAUAGCUCCUUCGACGGCGCCGCCUAGGAACGCGGAGAAAAUAUGACAAAGGAACGGCCAAAAAUAAAAAGAAAGACCUUUCUUUUGAAAAAACAAACAAAAAAAGGAAUGCAACACGAGGACUUCCCAGGAGGUCACCCAUCCUAGUACUACUGUCGCCCAAGCACGCUUAAGUUCGGAGUUCUGAUGGGAUCCGGUGCUUUAGUGCUGGUAUGAUCGCAUCCGACAUGCCGUGCGUUCUCCUCCCCUUUAUGCCCGCGCCUCCGUGUACGGCCCGCCCAUAGCUCCUUCGUCGGCGCCGCCUAGGAACGCGGAGAAAAUAUGACAAAGGAACGGCCAAAAAUAAAAAGAAAGACCUUUCUUUUGAAAAAACAAACGCCUCCGUGUACGGCCCGCCCAUAGCUCCUUCGACGGCGCCGCCUAGGAACGCGGAGAAAAUAUGACAAAGGAACGGCCAAAAAUAAAAAGAAAGACCUUUCUUUUGAAAAAACAAACAAAAAAAAGGAAUGCAACACGAGGACUUCCCAGGAGGUCACCCAUCCUAGUACUACUCUCGCCCAAGCACGCUUAACUUCGGAGUUCUGAUGGGAUCCGGUGCUUUAGUGCUGGUAUGAUCGCAUCCGACAUACCGUGCGUUCUCCUCCCCUUUAUGCCCGCCCCUCCGUGUACGGCCCGCCCAUAGCUCUUUCGACGGCGCCGCCUAGGAACGCGGAGAAAAUAUGACAAAGGAACGGCCAAAAAUAAAAAGAAAGACCUUUCUUUUGAAAAAACAAACGCCUCCGUGUACGGCCCGCCCAUAGCUCCUUCGACGGCGCCGCCUAGGAACGCGGAGAAAAUAUGACAAAGGAACGGCCAAAAAUAAAAAGAAAGACCUUUCUUUUGAAAAAACAAACAAAAAAAAGGAAUGCAACACGAGGACUUCCCAGGAGGUCACCCAUCCUAGUACUACUCUCGCCCAAGCACGCUUAACUUCGGAGUUCUGAUGGGAUCCGGUGCUUUAGUGCUGGUAUGAUCGCAUCCGACAUACCGUGCGUUCUCCUCCCCUUUAUGCCCGCGCCUCCGUGUACGGCCCGCCCAUAGCUCCUUCGACGGCGCCGCCUAGGAACGCGGAGAAAAUAUGACAAAGGAACGGCCAAAAAUAAAAAGAAAGACCUUUCUUUUGAAAAAACAAACAAAAAAAAGGAAUGCAACACGAGGACUUCCCAGGAGGUCACCCAUCCUAGUACUACUCUCGCCCAAGCACGCUUAACUUCGGAGUUCUGAUGGGAUCCGGUGCUUUAGUGCUGGUAUGAUCGCAUCCGACAUACCGUGCGUUCUCCUCCCCUUUAUGCCCGCGCCUCCGUGUACGGCCCGCCCAUAGCUCCUUCGACGGCGCCGCCUAGGAACGCGGAGAAAAUAUGACAAAGGAACGGGCAAAAAUAAAAAGAAAGACCUUUCUUUUGAAAAAACAAACAAAAAAAAGGAAUGCAACACGAGGACUUCCCAGGAGGUCACCCAUCCUAGUACUACUCUCGCCCAAGCACGCUUAACUUCGGAGUUCUGAUGGGAUCCGGUGCUUUAGUGCUGGUAUGAUCGCAUCCGACAUACCGUGCGUUCUCCUCCCCUUUAUGCCCGCGCCUCCGUGUACGGGCCGUCCAUAGCUCCUUCGACGGCGCCGCCUAUGAACGCGGAGAAAAUAUGACAAAGGAACGGCCAACAAUCAUACGAAAGACCUUUCUUUUGAAAAAACAAACAAAAAAAAGGAAUGCGACACGAGGACUUCCCAGGAGGUCACCCAUCCUAGUACUACUCUCGCCCAAGCACGCUUAACUUCGGAGUUCUGAUGGGAUCCGGUGCUUUAGUGCUAGUAUGAUCGCAUUCGACAUACCGUGCGUUCUCCUCCCCUUUAUGCCCGCGCCUCCGUGUACGGCCCGCCCAUAGCUCCUUCGACGGCGCCGCCUAGGAACGCGGAGAAAAUAUGACAAAGGAACGGCCAAAAAUAAAAAGAAAGACCUUUCUUUUGAAAAAACAAACAAAUAAAAGGAAUGCAACACGAGGACUUCCCAGGAGGUCACCCAUCCUAGUACUACUCUCGCCCAAGCACGCUUAACUUCGGAGUUCUGAUGGGAUCCGGUGCUUUAGUGCUGGUAUGAUCGCAUCCGACAUACCGUGCGUUCUCCUCCCCUUUAUGCCCGCGCCUCCGUGUACGGCCCGCCCAUAGCUCCUUCGACGGCGCCGCCUAGGAACGCGGAGAAAAUAUGACAAAGGAACGGCCAAAAAUAAAAAGAAAGACCUUUCUUUUGAAAAAACAAACGCCUCCGUGUACGGCCCGCCCAUAGCUCCUUCGACGGCGCCGCCUAGGAACGCGGAGAAAAUAUGACAAAGGAACGGCCAAAAAUAAAAAGAAAGACCUUUCUUUUGAAAAAACAAACAAAAAAAAGGAAUGCAACACGAGGACUUCCCAGGAGGUCACCCAUCCUAGUACUACUCUCGCCCAAGCACGCUUAACUUCGGAGUUCUGAUGGGAUCCGGUGCUUUAGUGCUGGUAUGAUCGCAUCCGACAUACCGUGCGUUCUCCUCCCCUUUAUGCCCGCGCCUCCGUGUACGGCCCGCCCAUAGCUCCUUCGACGGCGCCGCCUAGGAACGCGGAGAAAAUAUGACAAAGGAACGGCCAAAAAUAAAAAGAAAGACCUUUCUUUUGAAAAAACAAACAAAUAAAAGGAAUGCAACACGAGGACUUCCCAGGAGGUCACCCAUCCUAGUACUACUCUCGCCCAAGCACGCUUAACUUCGGAGUUCUGAUGGGAUCCGGUGCUUUAGUGCUGGUAUGAUCGCAUCCGACAUACCGUGCGUUCUCCUCCCCUUUAUGCCCGCGCCUCCGUGUACGGCCCGCCCAUAGCUCCUUCGACGGCGCCGCCUAGGAACGCGGAGAAAAUAUGACAAAGGAACGGCCAAAAAUAAAAAGAAAGACCUUUCUUUUGAAAAAACAAACAAAUAAAAGGAAUGCAACACGAGGACUUCCCAGGAGGUCACCCAUCCUAGUACUACUCUCGCCCAAGCACGCUUAACUUCGGAGUUCUGAUGGGAUCCGGUGCUUUAGUGCUGGUAUGAUCGCAUCCGACAUACCGUGCGUUCUCCUCCCCUUUAUGCCCGCGCCUCCGUGUACGGCCCGCCCAUAGCUCCUUCGACGGCGCCGCCUUGGAACGCGGAGAAAAUAUGACAAAGGAACGGCCAAAAAUAAAAAGAAAGACCUUUCUUUUGAAAAAACAAACAAAUAAAAGGAAUGCAACACGAGGACUUCCCAGGAGGUCACCCAUCCUAGUACUACUCUCGCCCAAGCACGCUUAACUUCGGAGUUCUGAUGGGAUCCGGUGCUUUAGUGCUGGUAUGAUCGCAUCCGACAUACCGUGCGUUCUCCUCCCCUUUAUGCCCGCGCCUCCGUGUACGGCCCGCCCAUAGCUCCUUCGACGGCGCCGCCUAGGAACGCGGAGAAAAUAUGACAAAGGAACGGCCAAAAAUAAAAAGAAAGACCUUUCUUUUGAAAAAACAAACAAAUAAAAGGAAUGCAACACGAGGACUUCCCAGGAGGUCACCCAUCCUAGUACUACUCUCGCCCAAGCACGCUUAACUUCGGAGUUCUGAUGGGAUCCGGUGCUUUAGUGCUGGUAUGAUCGCAUUCGACAUACCGUGCGUUCUCCUCCCCUUUAUGCCCGCGCCUCCGUGUACGGGCCGCCCAUAGCUCCUUCGACGGCGCCGCCUAGGAACGCGGAGAAAAUAUGACAAAGGAACGGCCAAAAAUAAAAAGAAAGACCUGUUCUUUUGAAAAAACAAACUAAAAAAAGGAAUGCAGCACGAGGACUUCCCAGGAGGUCACCCAUCCUAAUACUACUCUCGCCCAAGCACGCUUAACUUCGGAGUUCUGAUGGGAUCCGGAGCUUUAGUGUUGGUAUGAUCGCAUCCGACAUACCGUGCGUUCUCCUCCCCUUUAUGCACCCGCCUCCGUGUACGGCCCGCCCAUAGCUCCUUCGACGGCGCCGCCUAGGAACGCGGAGAAAAUAUGACAAAGGAACGGCCAAAAAUAAAAAGAAAGACCUUUCUUUUGAAAAAACAAACAAAAAAAAGGAAUGCAACACGAGGACUUCCCAGGAGGUCACCCAUCCUAGUACUACUCUCGCCCAAGCACGCUUAACUUCGGAGUUCUGAUGGGAUCCGGUGCUUUAGUGCUGGUAUGAUCGCAUCCGACAUACCGUGCGUUCUCCUCCCCUUUAUGCCCGCGCCUCCGUGUACGGCCCGCCCAUAGCUCCUUCGACGGCGCCGCCUAGGAACGCGGAGAAAAUAUGACAAAGGAACGGCCAAAAAUAAAAAGAAAGACCUUUCUUUUGAAAAAACAAACAAAAAAAAGGAAUGCAACACGAGGACUUCCCAGGAGGUCACCCAUCCUAGUACUACUCUCGCCCAAGCACGCUUAACUUCGGAGUUCUGAUGGGAUCCGGUGCUUUAGUGCUGGUAUGAUCGCAUCCGACAUACCGUGCGUUCUCCUCCCCUUUAUGCCCGCGCCUCCGUGUACGGCCCGCCCAUAGCUCCUUCGACGGCGCCGCCUAGGAACGCGGAGAAAAUAUGACAAAGGAACGGCCAAAAAUAAAAAGAAAGACCUUUCUUUUGAAAAAACAAACAAAUAAAAGGAAUGCAACACGAGGACUUCCCAGGAGGUCACCCAUCCUAGUACUACUCUCGCCCAAGCACGCUUAACUUCGGAGUUCUGAUGGGAUCCGGUGCUUUAGUGCUGGUAUGAUCGCAUCCGACAUACCGUGCGUUCUCCUCCCCUUUAUGCCCGCGCCUCCGUGUACGGCCCGCCCAUAGCUCCUUCGACGGCGCCGCCUAGGAACGCGGAGAAAAUAUGACAAAGGAACGGCCAAAAAUAAAAAGAAAGACCUUUCUUUUGAAAAAACAAACGCCUCCGUGUACGGCCCGCCCAUAGCUCCUUCGACGGCGCCGCCUAGGAACGCGGAGAAAAUAUGACAAAGGAACGGCCAAAAAUAAAAAGAAAGACCUUUCUUUUGAAAAAACAAACAAAAAAAAGGAAUGCAACACGAGGACUUCCCAGGAGGUCACCCAUCCUAGUACUACUCUCGCCCAAGCACGCUUAACUUCGGAGUUCUGAUGGGAUCCGGUGCUUUAGUGCUGGUAUGAUCGCAUCCGACAUACCGAGCGUUCUCCUCCCCUUUAUGCCCGCGCCUCCGUGUACGGCCCGCCCAUAGCUCCUUCGACGGCGCCGCCUAGGAACGCGGAGAAAAUAUGACAAAGGAACGGCCAAAAAUAAAAAGAAAGACCUUUCUUUUGAAAAAACAAACGCCUCCGUGUACGGCCCGCCCAUAGCUCCUUCGACGGCGCCGCCUAGGAACGCGGAGAAAAUAUGACAAAGGAACGGCCAAAAAUAAAAAGAAAGACCUUUCUUUUGAAAAAACAAACAAAAAAAAGGAAUGCAACACGAGGACUUCCCAGGAGGUCACCCAUCCUAGUACUACUCUCGCCCAAGCACGCUUAACUUCGGAGUUCUGAUGGGAUCCGGUGCUUUAGUGCUGGUAUGAUCGCAUCCGACAUACCGUGCGUUCUCCUCCCCUUUAUGCCCGCGCCUCCGUGUACGGCCCGCCCAUAGCUCCUUCGACGGCGCCGCCUAGGAACGCGGAGAAAAUAUGACAAAGGAACGGCCAAAAAUAAAAAGAAAGACCUUUCUUUUGAAAAAACAAACACCUAAAAGGAAUGCAACACGAGGACUUCCCAGGAGGUCACCCGUCAUCGUAGUACUCUCGCCCAAGCACGCUUAGCUUCGGAGUUCUGAUGAGAUCCGGUGCUUUAGUGCUGGUAUGAUCGCAUCCGACAUACCGUGAGUUCUCCUCCCCUUUAUGCCCGUGCCUCCAUGUACCGCCCGCCCAUAGCUCCUUCGACGGGACGCUCCUAGGAACGCGGAGAAAAUAUUACAAAGGAGCGCCCAAAAAUAAAAAGAAAGACCUUUCUUUUGAAAAAACAAACGCCUCCGUGUACGGCCCGCCCAUAGCUCCUUCGACGGCGCCGCCUAGGAACGCGGAGAAAAUAUGACAAAGGAACGGCCAAAAAUAAAAAGAAAGACCUUUCUUUUGAAAAAACAAACAAAAAAAAGGAAUGCAACACGCGGACUUCCCAGGAGGUCACCCAUCCUAGUACUACUCUCGCCCAAGCACGCUUAAGUUCGGAGUUCUGAUGGGAUCCGGUUCUUUAGUGCUGGCAUGCUCGCAUCAGGCAUGCCGCGCGUUCUCCUCCCCGGUAGGCACGCAUCUUAGUGUACGUCUCGCCCAUAGCUCCUUCGUUGGGAGCUCCUAGGAGCUCGGAGAAAAUAUGGCAAAGGAACGGCCAUAAAUAAAAAGAAAGACCUUUCUUCUGAAAAAACAAACGCCUCCGUGUACGGCCCGCCCAUAGCUCCUUCGACGGCGCCGCCUAGGAACGCGGAGAAAAUAUGACAAAGGAACGGCCAAAAAUAAAAAGAAAGACCUUUCUUUUGAAAAAACAAACAAAUAAAAGGAAUGCAACACGAGGACUUCCCAGGAGGUCACCCAUCCUAGUACUACUCUCGCCCAAGCACGCUUAACUUCGGAGUUCUGAUGGGAUCCGGUGCUUUAGUGCUGGUAUGAUCGCAUCCGACAUACCGUGCGUUCUCCUCCCCUUUAUGCCCGCGCCUCCGUGUACGGCCCGCCCAUAGCUCCUUCGACGGCGCCGCCUAGGAACGCGGAGAAGGAGUAUGACAAAGGAACGGCCAAAAAUAAAAAGAAAGACCUUUCUUUUGAAAAAACAAACAAAUAAAAGGAAUGCAACACGAGGACUUCCCAGGAGGUCACCCAUCCUAGUACUACUCUCGCCCAAGCACGCUUAACUUCGGAGUUCUGAUGGGAUCCGGUGCUUUAGUGCUGGUAUGAUCGCAUUCGACAUACCGGGCGUACUCCUCCCCUUUAUGCCCGCGCCUCCGUGUACGGCCCGCCCAUAGCUCCUUCGACGGCGCCGCCUAGGAACGCGGAGAAAAUAUGACAAAGGAACGGCCAAAAAUAAAAAGAAAGACCUUUCUUUUGAAAAAACAAACGAAUCCGAGGAAUGCAAGACGAGGACUUCCCAGGAGGUCACCCAUCCUAGUACUACUCUCGCCCAAGCACGCUUAAGUUCGGAGUUCUGAUGGGAUCCGGUGCUUUAGUGCUGGUAUGAUCGCGUCCGACGUACCGUGCGUUCUCCUCCCCUUGAUGCCCGUGCCUCCGUGUACGGCCCGCCCAUAGCUCCUUCGACGGCGCCGUCNNNNNNNNNNNNNNNNNNNNNNNNNNNNNNNNNNNNNNNNNNNNNNNNNNNNNNNNNNNNNNNNNNNNNNNNNNNNNNNNNNNNNNNNNNNNNNNNNNNNAACACGAGGACUUCCCAAGAGGUCACCCAUCCUAGUACUACUCUCGCCCAAGCACGCUUAACUUCGGAGUUCUGAUGGGAUCCGGUGCUUUAGUGCUGGUAUGAUCGCAUCCGACAUACCGUGCGUUCUCCUCCCCUUUAUGCCCGCGCCUCCGUGUACGGCCCGCCCAUAGCUCCUUCGACGGCGCCGCCUAGGAACGCGGAGAAAAUAUGACAAAGGAACGGCCAAAAAUAAAAAGAAAGACCUUUCUUUUGAAAAAACAAACAAAAAAAAGGAAUGCAACACGAGGACUUCCCAGGAGGUCACCCAUCCUAGUACUACUCUCGCCCAAGCACGCUUAACUUCGGAGUUCUGAUGGGAUCCGGUGCUUUAGUGCUGGUAUGAUCGCAUCCGACAUACCGUGCGUUCUCCUCCCCUUUAUGCCCGCGCCUCCGUGUACGGCCCGCCCAUAGCUCCUUCGACGGCGCCGCCUAGGAACGCGGAGAAAAUAUGACAAAGGAACGGCCAAAAAUAAAAAGAAAGACCUUUCUUUUGAAAAAACAAACAAAAAAAAGGAAUGCAACACGAGGACUUCCCAGGAGGUCACCCAUCCUAGUACUACUCUCGCCCAAGCACGCUUAACUUCGGAGUUCUGAUGGGAUCCGGUGCUUUAGUGCUGGUAUGAUCGCAUCCGACAUACCAUGCGUUCUCCUCCCCUUUAUGCCCGCGCCUCCGUGUACGGCCCGCCCAUAGCUCCUUCGACGGCGCCGCCUAGGAACGCGGAGAAAAUAUGACAAAGGAAUGGCCAAAAAUAAAAAGAAAGACCUUUCUUUUGAAAAAACAAACGCCUCCGUGUACGGCCCGCCCAUAGCUCCAUCGACGGCGCCGCCUAGGAACGCGGAGAAAAUAUGACAAAGGAACGGCCAAAAAUAAAAAGAAAGACCUUUCUUUUGAAAAAAACAAACAAAAAAAAGGAAUGCAACGCGAGGACUUCCCAGGAGGUCACCCAUCCUAGUACUACUCUCGCCCAAGCACGCUUAACUUCGGAGUUCUGAUGGGAUCCGGUGCUUUAGUGCUGGUAUGAUCGCAUCCGACAUACCGUGCGUUCUCCUCCCCUUUAUGCCCGCGCCUCCGUGUACGGCCCGCCCAUAGCUCCUUCGACGGCGCCGCCUAGGAACGCGGAGAAAAUAUGACAAAGGAACGGCCAAAAAUAAAAAGAAAGACCUUUCUUUUGAAAAAACAAACAAAAAAAAGGAAUGCAACACGAGGACUUCCCAGGAGGUCACCCAUCCUAGUACUACUCUCGCCCAAGCACGCUUAACUUCGGAGUUCUGAUGGGAUCCGGUGCUUUAGUGCUGGUAUGAUCGCAUCCGACAUACCGUGCGUUCUCCUCCCCUUUAUGCCCGCGCCUCCGUGUACGGCCCGCCCAUAGCUCCUUCGACGGCGCCGCCUAGGAACGCGGAGAAUAUAUGACAAAGGAACGGCCAAAAAUAAAAAGAAAGACCUUUCUUUUGAAAAAACAAACGCCUCCGUGUACGGCCCGUCCAUAGCUCCUUCGACGGUGCCGCCUAGGAACGCGGAGAAAAUAUGACAACGGAACGGCCAAAAAUAAAAAGAAGGACCUUUCUUUUGAAAAUACAUAAUCAAUACAAAAAGGAAUGCAACACGAGGACUUCCCAGGAGGUCACCCAUCCUAGUACUACUCUCGCCCAAGCACGCUUAACUUCGGAGUUCUGAUGGGAUCCGGUGCUUUAGUGCUGGUAUGAUCGCAUCCGACAUACCGUGCGUUCUCCUCCCCUUUAUGCCCGCGCCUCCGUGUACGGCCCGCCCAUAGCUCCUUCGACGGCGCCGCCUAGGAACGCGGAGAAAAUAUGACAAAGGAACGGCCAAAAAUAAAAAGAAAGACCUUUCUUUUGAAAAAACAAACAAAUAAAAGGAAUGCAACACGAGGACUUCCCAGGAGGUCACCCAUCCUAGUACUACUCUCGCCCAAGCACGCUUAACUUCGGAGUUCUGAUGGGAUCCGGUGCUUUAGUGCUGGUAUGAUCGCAUCCGACAUACCGUGCGUUCUCCUCCCCUUUAUGCCCGCGCCUCCGUGUACGGCCCGCCCAUAGCUCCUUCGACGGCGCCGCCUAGGAACGCGGAGAAAAUAUGACAAAGGAACGGCCAAAAAUAAAAAGAAAGACCUUUCUUUUGAAAAAACAAACAAAAAAAAAGGAAUGCAACACGAGGACUUCCCAGGAGGUCACCCAUCCUAGUACUACUCUCGCCCAAGCACGCUUAACUUCGGAGUUCUGAUGGGAUCCGGUGCUUUAGUGCUGGUAUGAUCGCAUCGGACAUACCGUGCGUUCUCCUCCCCUUUAUGCCCGCGCCUCCGUGUACGGCCCGCCCAUAGCUCCUUCGACGGCGCCGCCUAGGAACGCGGAGAAAAUAUGACAAAGGAACGGCCAAAAAUAAAAAGAAAGACCUUUCUUUUGAAAAAACAAACGCCUCAGUGUACGGCCCGCCCAUAGCUCCUUCGACGGCGCCGCCUAGGAACGCGGAGAAAAUAUGACAAAGGAACGGCCAAAAAUAAAAAGAAAGACCUUUCUUUUGAAAAAACAAACAAAAAAAAGGA